GCAUUUGCUUUGGAUGUACAUAUACUAAAAUUGGAAUGAUACAGAAAAGUUUAACAUGGCCCCUGAGCAAGGAUGAUAAGAAAAUUCAUGAGCUGUUCAAUAUUUUA
ensembl:snRNA U6 U6 spliceosomal RNA